UUACAAGGCCGUAGGGUAGAGACGACCCGCAAGUGAGGGAUCUUUUCCUGGUUUUCGAUUCCCACUUGGGUGACGCCUGCGACUUCCUCAGCAAGGAUAACUUAGUGUGCUAGUCAGCUUCGCAUCCACCAUUUCAUCGAAACCGUACAACUAAGAGGAUUCGUUUUCCUAGUUUACAGGGAGGAUUCUUGCUAAAACUGGACUCAGCAAGCCAAGGACAGCGCCCAAGGUCAAGGCCUAGUCAGAAAGAGGACUGAGAAGAGCCAUGUCACUGGUCACCAGGGAUGUGUCAGAAAACAGCUUGCUGCAAAGAACCCCUUUUCCAUGUGACUUCCAGAAGCCUCGUGGAUGCUGCCCGUGUUUACCUCCGACAAGGCCGGGCACAGACCCUCCAGAUUCCCACUCUUUGCCUCAUAGGUGAUUAGCUGAACUGCUUGUCCCCAGUAAUCAGAGCAAAAUGCUUGUCAGCCAAAUUUCGUUAAAUUCUCUCCUUCCUCCAGCCCCUGAACUUUGGUCCACGCUCAGCCUAAGCCAGCAGACGGUCCUUCUUUCUUGCGAAGAGGACAGGAUGUUCUCUGAUCCCCUGUCCCGUUAUGCUACUCUUUGAUCCCACUUUCUAGUUCUUUUCUGCAGCCUAUAAAAGAAAAAUCUUUUUGCCCAACCCUGA